GUGCUUAACACAUGCAAGUCGAACGAUGAAGCCUGCAACUUGUUGUGGGUGGAUUAGUGGCGAACGGGUGAGUAAUACGUGGGUAACCUGCCCUCCUUUUUGGGAUAAGCCUUGGAAACGGGGUCUAAUACCGAAUAUUCUGGCGCUCUCGCAUGGGGGUGUUGGGAAAGCUUUAGUGUGAAGGGGGAUGGGCUCGCGGCCUAUCAGCUUGUUGGUGGGGUGAUGGCCUACCAAGGCGGUGACGGGUAGCCGGCCUGAGAGGGUGACCGGCCACAUUGGGACUGAGAUACGGCCCAGACUCCUACGGGAGGCAGCAGUGGGGGAUAUUGCACAAUGGGCGAAAGCCUGAUGCAGCGACGCCGCGUGGGGGAUGAAGGCUUUCGGGUUGUAAACCUCUUUCGCUAUCGAACAAGGCUCAUUUUUUGGUGGGUUGAGGGUAGG
rnacentral:rRNA from 1 species